GACUAUUCACCAAGAUGUCUUCUUCCUCUUCUUUUUCCGUCAAUCAGGUAUGAGAUCUUCUUUUGUUCCUCUGUCUGAUAUUUUAACUGAUCUGACGCCGGGUGGCUACCUGCUACCCUUUUUCAGCCAAGGUGCCUUAGUCCUGAACUGAAACGGGCGAUCGAGGUCAUGCAUUCUGAUGAACCGCUGUCGCAGGCAGACAGAGAUCUGAUCAGGGCUCAUCACAAAGAACUCAAAGAUCAUAU
rnacentral:lncRNA from 1 species